rnacentral:lncRNA from 15 species
AGUCAUCAGGGCCACGAUGAAGACUUUGUGUGUUGCUGUAGUUGUGCUCAGUUUCUCCUCGGUGUGCCAGCCUGCAUCGCUGGCCUGUGAGAGGUUGCUGAAGCCAGAAGCCAGAAAUCCAGAUCUGACUGGGAGAUGGCGCUAUGUAGCCUUGUCCAGUGACUUAUGUCCUACUAGAACAAUAAUGGAGUCUGUUUUUCGGCCAGCUAUGGAAAUGAACAUCACCUCUGAAGUCACACCGAACGUCUACAGUCUCGGAUUUAAGUUUAAAAUACUUGGGAUGUGCAUCCACAAAUCACAUUUUUCAACAUUUGUUUAUGAGAACAACACUGUGAGUGCUGCUGACAGCAACAAUGCCUCACCCAGUGAACCCAUUGUACUGCUACAAAGUGGGUGUCCUGACUGCAUCAUUUUACGUAACGAUGCCAUCCAUUCCCUUAUUCUUCUAAGUAGGAGAGAGACGGUCACUGCUGCUGAGAUGAAGGAGUUUGAGACACAGGCAAAGUGUUCGGGUUUGCCUGAACCGCAGCUCUUCAUGUCAGAUCACGUCUAUGAAAACUGCACCAUGCUUGAAGACUUUCUACACACAUUUUCCAGUCAAGUAGACAUCGAGAAAGCUGUGUCCCUAAAUGAGAAAAUUAUGAAUUGUAGGCAGCAAAGGUAG